GCUCCAUUAUUAUUUUAUGGGGUGUGACCUGCUCAAUGGUUGGUAAUAAAUAAUCAUAAUAACAAUUAAAUAGCCGCGGUAACUCUGACCGUGAUAAAGUAGCAUAAUCAUUUGUCACUUAAUUAGUGACUAGAAUGAAUGGUUGAACGAAUCUCUAACUGUCUCAAUAAGAAACUUAACAAAAUUGAAAUUACAGUGAAGAUGCUGUAAAUAAAUUGCAAGACGAAAAGACCCUAUCGAGCUUUACUGAAUAUCUAUAUAACAAAUAUUAAUUUAAAAAAUUACAGAUAACUAUUAUAUGUAGGUAAGACAGUUUGGUUGGGGCGACCACCUCUAAAAAAGUAACAGAGGAGAUCUAAAGGUAAUUUUUAUGAAAAUUAGCCUUACUGAAAAGUUAUAACUUAACCAGUUACUAGUUAGUAGGACAUAAUGACCCGUUAUUUUUUAUUACAAAAAUAACGAUAACAAAAUAAGUUACCGUAGGGAUAACAGGGUAAUAAUUCCAAAGAGUUCAUAUCGAUGGAAUUGUUUGCCACCUCGAUGUUGAAUUAUGAUAUCCUAGAGGUGCAGCAGCUUCUAAGGGUUG
rnacentral:rRNA from 1 species